AGUGAACGCUGGCGGUAGGCCUAACACAUGCAAGUCGAACGGCAGCACAGUAAGAGCUUGCUCUUACGGGUGGCGAGUGGCGGACGGGUGAGGAAUACAUCGGAAUCUACUUUUUCGUGGGGGAUAACGUAGGGAAACUUACGCUAAUACCGCAUACGACCUACGGGUGAAAGCAGGGGAUCUUCGGACCUUGCGCGAUUGAAUGCGCCGAUGUCGGAUUAGCUAGUUGGCGGGGUAAAGGCCCACCAAGGCGACGAUCCGUAGCUGGUCUGAGAGGAUGAUCAGCCACACUGGAACUGAGACACGGUCCAGACUCCUACGGGAGGCAGCAGUGGGGAAUAUUGGACAAUGGGCGCAAGCCUGAUCCAGCCAUACCGCGUGGGUGAAGAAGGCCUUCGGGUUGUAAAGCCCUUUUGUUGGGAAAGAGAAGCAGCAGGUUAAUACCCCGCUGUUCUGACGGUACCCAAAGAAUAAGCACCGGCUAACUUCGUG
rnacentral:rRNA from 1 species